rnacentral:rRNA from 1 species
UAGAGUUUGAUCAUGGCUCAGAACGAACGCUGGCGGCAGGCCUAACACAUGCAAGUCGAACGGCAGCGCGGGCUUCGGCCUGGCGGCGAGUGGCGGACGGGUGAGGAAUGCAUCGGAAUCUGCCCCGACGUGGGGGAUAACGUAGGGAAACUUACGCUAAUACCGCAUACGUCCUACGGGGGAAAGCGGGGGAUCUUCGGACCUCGCGCGGCGGGAUGAGCCGAUGCCGGAUUAGCUAGUUGGUGGGGUAAAGGCCCACCAAGGCGACGAUCGGUAGCUGGUCUGAGAGGAUGAUCAGCCACACUGGGACUGAGACACGGCCCAGACUCCUACGGGAGGCAGCAGUGGGGAAUAUUGCACAAUGGGCGCAAGCCUGAUGCAGCGACGCCGCGUGAGGGAUGACGGCCUUCGGGUUGUAAAGCACUUUUAUCGGGGACGAAAUCCGGAAGGUUAAUACCCGUCCGGGAUGACGGUACCCGAGGAAUAAGCACCGGCUAACUUCGUGCCAGCAGCCGCGGUAAU